rnacentral:rRNA from 1 species
AACGAACGCUGGCGGCAUGCCUAACACAUGCAAGUCGAACGAGACCUUCGGGUCUAGUGGCGCACGGGUGCGUAACGCGUGGGAACCUGCCCUUAGGUUCGGAAUAACUCCCCGAAAGGGGUGCUAUACCGGAUAAUGUCUUCGGACCAAAGAUUUAUCGCCUUUGGAUGGGCCCGCGUUGGAUUAGCUAGUUGGUAGGGUAAAAGCCUACCAAGGCGACGAUCCAUAGCUGGUCUGAGAGGAUGAUCAGCCACACUGGGACUGAGACGCGGCCCAGACUCCUACGGGAGGCAGCAGUGGGGAAUAUUGGACAAUGGGCGAAAGCCUGAUCCAGCAAUGCCGCGUGAGUGAUGAAGGCCUUAGGGUUGUAAAGCUCUUUUACCCGGGAUGAUAAUGACAGUACCGGGAGAAUAAGCUCCGGCUAACUCCGUG